rnacentral:rRNA from 1 species
UUGCACGCUGGCGGCAGGCCUUACCCCUGCAAGUCGAGCGGAUGAAGGGAGCUUGCUCCUGGAUUCAGCGGCGGACGGGUGAGUAAUGCCUAGGAAUCUGCCUGGUAGUGGGGGAGAACGUCCGGAAACGGGCGCUAAUACCGCAUACGUCCUGAGGGAGAAAGCGGGGGAUCUUCGGACCUCACGCUCUCUGGUGAGCCUAGGUCGGAUUAGCUAGUUGUGUGGGUAAAGUCCUACCAAGGCGACGAUCCGUAACUGGUCUGAGAGGAUGAUCAGUCACACUGGAACUGGGACACGGUCCAGACUCCUACGGGAGGCAGCAGUGGGGAAUAUUGGACAAUGGGCGAAAGCCUGAUCCAGCCAUGCCGCGUGUGUGAAGAAGGUCUUCGGAUUGUAAAGCACUUUAAGUUGGGAGGAAGGGCAGUAAGUUAAUACCUUGCUGUUUUGACGUUACCAACAGAAUAAGCACCGGCUAACUUCGUG